GACGAACGCUGGCGGCGUGCCUAAUACAUGCAAGUUGAGCGCUGAAGGCUGGUACUUGUACCAACUGGAUGAGCAGCGAACGGGUGAGUAACGCGUGGGGAAUCUGCCUUUGAGCGGGGGACAACAUUUGGAAACGAAUGCUAAUACCGCAUAAAAACUUUAAACACAAGUUUUAAGUUUGAAAGAUGCAAUUGCAUCACUCAAAGAUGAUCCCGCGUUGUAUUAGCUAGUUGGUGAGGUAAAGGCUCACCAAGGCGAUGAUACAUAGCCGACCUGAGAGGGUGAUCGGCCACAUUGGGACUGGAGCACGGCCCAAAAUCCUACGGGAGGGAGCAGUAGGGGAUCUUCGGCAAUGGACGAAAGUCUGACCGAGCAACGCCGCGUGAGUGAAGAAGGUUUUCGGAUCGUAAAACUCUGUUGGUAGAGAAGAACGUUGGGCAGAGUGAAAAGCUCAUCAAGUGACGGUAACUACCCAGAAAGGGACGGCUAACUACGUG
rnacentral:rRNA from 1 species